CGCUCUUUAAUAAUUCCUUUAUUAAUUUCCAACAGCGGGACCCCCGAUGGAUCCAUGGGACAGGUGAGGGCUCCCUGGGACAGGUGAGGGCUCUGGGACAGGUGAGGGUCACACCCUGGGACAGGUGAGGGCUCCAUGGGACAGGUGAGGGUCCCUGGGACAGGUGAGGGUCCCUGGGACAGGUGAGGGUCCCUGGACAGGUGAGGGCUCUGUAGGACAGGUGAGGGGUCCCUGGGACAGGUGAGGGGUCCCUGGACAGGUGAGGGUCCCGCCCUGGACAGGUGAGGGGGUCCCUGGACAGGUGAGGGCUCCAUGGGACAGGUGAGGGCUCUGUGAGACAGGUGAGGGCUCCCUGGGACAGGUGAGGGGUCCCUGGACAGGUGAGGGGUCCCUGGACAGGUGAGGGCUCUGUAGGACAGGUGAGGGCUCUGUGGGACAGGUGAGGG